AUGUCGCUUUCAAAAUCAUAAUUCAUUUUAUAGCCUACUGCACAUUUGGGGGUGUGUGCGCGCACGCAUGGGUGUUGAGCAGCUGGUCUCUGGUGUAAACCAAUGACACCACAAGAUGGAAAUCUGCUCUUGGCAAUAAAAAGCGUCGGCGAUUGGUUGAUAAUUUCUUACAUUUGGACUUAACAAAUGGAAGCGUGCGCAAGCACCCAUGGUGUUCAGCCAAUGAAUGUAAACGAAGCGGACCUUUGCUGAAGUGGUUCUACUCGCGUCUCCGCGCGGUUGUGUCUCUAUUAGCACAGAGGGAGCGCGCGGAUCGGUAUUGGCAUCGAUAAGGAAAAUAUCUGUGUGCAGCAGUUUGGGUUCUAAGGAGAUUCUCAUCUGUGAGUGAAUUGGCAUCUCUCAUUCAGCCCUCCGUCGAGGCUGCUGCUGCAGGCUUGUUGAUGAACGCAACAUCAGGCAACAUGGUGACUACCGUUUCCAAAGGCUCUUCAUCAAACUGCCCGUCUGAGUACAACCAGCGCCACGCAGUGAGAAUCGGAGGCUGGUGAGGCUGGAGGCUUGGCUCUGAGCUCUGCUGGUGGUGGAGAGAGAGAGAGAGAGAGGAAGAGGAAGAGAGAGACGGCUCCAGUGGAGGCAGGGCUGUGGGGGGAUGGGGAGGACCUGGUCCCCGGAGAAGAGGCUUCAUUGAGGGACAUGAGGCAAAGCUCAGCCCUGCUAGACCCUCUCUGAACCAGAGUGCACUGACUGCACUGACUGUUGAGUUGAGUUGAGUCUGACACUCAACUCUUUGCUUGCUAGGUUUUUUUGUUUUGAGUGGAGAUCUUUUGCUUUAUGUCUCCUGACCAAGAGUGAAAUUUGUGCCAAACAGGAAAAAAAUUACAGACAACGAAAAAAAGAGAAGGAGAGACUAUCAGACUGACCCAGAAAGUCAUUUUUAGCACAAUUUAACCUAUAUGGGAAGAUUUUUUUUUAGUGUUGAUACAGAUUUCUCCUUAAAAUAUUAGCUUCAGAACAAAAGACUCUUUUUAUUUGAGCGCCCUUUCAAUGCUAUUCAGCUUUCUUAAGAUUUUUUUUUUGUGAUGAUGACCUAAUGAGAUUUUCCUUAAGUCACAGCUUUGCCGUGCCAUUUUAAAAAACAAAAACAAAAGACAAGUCAUAAAGUUUACAUUUUUUGUAACGCUUUUAUUUGAUUGCUGCUCAAAGAAGAUGGUAGUUAGUUUUGAGAGACUAGUGCAUUAGAGUUUAAAGUGCUUUAUGUUAUAGGGACCCUGUGUGGCGGUGGUGAUGCAUUAACUGGGUCUAGGCUGCAAAUGACGUGAAUGCGAACGGGAAAAAGAGCCUCGGCAUUGAUUGACAGAUUGACAGGCAUCAUGUGACCAAGAGUGACCUGCUGCUAAUGGCUGUUUAAAUAUCGUGUCUUUGGUCUGUGAGUCCUCUGGUCAACGUGCUUCCCUCCCCUCCCCCUCAGAGAACGUCCUGUCCUCAUUUAGGUGCCAUUUGCUUGUGAACAAAAAAGCCUUCCAGAAGCAUCCAGCCCACCUUUUUUUGGUCUGUGUGCAAUUGGACAGAUGAAAGCCAUAAUAUGUGAACUUUUAUAAGGCUUAGAUAGACUGCUUUUUUUAACCUGUGAGUACACAUGAAAUACCAUUGCCUGGUGCAUUUAUGUGUUCAGGGAUUCCUGUUAAAAUGCUGAUUUAAGUUGCGUAUGUUUUCCAUUUAAAACAGCAACAUUUAAAAAAAAAAAAGUUGAUGGUGCAUAUUGUUUAGGGGAACUUGAGGGCUGUGAAAGAUUGUUCCUCUACCUCAGUGGUGUGGGUGCGGACACACGUCCGGUUUAGUACUUUGGGAGCCCAAGUUGAAGUUUGUACUGAAAGUGAAAAAAAGAAGAACAAAAAAAAGGAUUGGACUGGUUUGUGUUGCUUGUAAUAUAUAUCCCCACGGUGACGAAUGAAUCUCAGCCAGUUCAUGGGUUUUUUGUGGACAGAACCGUGCAGUCCUGCCAGAGACGGGCCCAAGCCCACCUUCGUCUUGUUCUGCUGGGCAGAGCUGAGUCCAGAACAGAGACACUUGUGUAAGGGGGCCACACACACAUAGAUAUUUAGAACUUUUCAAGCUCCCCACCACCUUUCCCCAUAUGCCUCCAGAGUCGCUCUAAAUCCUGCAGCUCUCUCUUACGCUGACUCAUAUAGCUUCCUCUAAGCCUUUGUGACAAGUUUUGUGCUGCCCUUUGAACUGUUUUGAAUUGAACUCACAGCUUUGAACUUGACUGCCCACCUAGGCGUCAUAUUGUGUGUAUCACUGACGUAUUUGUUCUAUUAAGAGAACCUUUUCCUACCACACCUUAUAUCCUCUAACCUAGGUGUGUGAGUUAUUUAGUUCUUUGGCGAUUGUGACUCCUUGCAUGCUGUUGGAUUUAUUGGAACUAGUCACACUCUGGCAGACAUUUGUUUGUUGAUGAUAAUCAACACUGCCAAAUAUUAGGACGAGCAUAAACACUCUUUCAAGAUUUGUUUACAAGAUGACAGCAGCCCUCACAGCUGUCAGUGAAACCGUUUACAUCUCAGAGAAGAGCUAUGAAAUGGUGUCAAAAGUCGAUUCAUUUCUAUUUUGACACUUCCCUGACAGAAAAGUGUAUAGGUCAGAUGAUUGUUGUUGAGGAACUGAGGUGCCAGUAUAGUUACAUUUGACCUGCUUAUGUAGUGACUACUUGCAGACUACAAUUCUAAAAGUUUACAAUUCUGAGAAAAAUGUUUACAGCCAACAUUUUUCCUAGACAGUGAAUCUUUUUCUGGGCCAGGGUGCAGGCUCUGAACAAAAACACCUUUAACAGUGUUGCCUAUCUCUCGUCUUCAGUAUUGAUCAUUUUAAACGUUUACAGUGGUUGCAUAUUUGUUUUGUUUACAAGGACAGCGCUGUCCACCUCAAAAGACGUCUGAGUUGAAUACAUGUAGAGAGUACCUGUUUACGCAGUAGAUAACUCUGACCACCUCUACCAAUCCAUCGAACCCUUCAGUAAAUUGUUGUUUACAGUGAAUGCUAUUGUUCAAUGUUUCAACAGUCUAGGCCAUUAUAUCCUGUGCCAAUUUGAAUUUGGAUUUCUAUUUCGUGUAUCAAUUAAGUGUUCGCUAGUACACAUUUUCUGUAAGAGAUUCAGCCUGUGACUAAAUAUUCUCCGUGUUUACAUUGCUAACUGCUAACUAUCAGAGAUUUUCAUUAAGAAUGGGAGCAACAUGUUUAC